rnacentral:rRNA from 1 species
GUGCCAGCAGCCGCGGUAAUACAUAGGGGUCAAGCGUUGUCCGGAUUUAUUGGGCGUAAAGAGCUCGUAGGCGGUUCAACAAGUCGGUCGUAAAAGUUUAGGGCUCAACCCUAAAAUGUCGAUCGAUACUGUUGUGACUAGGAUACGGUAGAGGUGAAUGGAAUUCCGAGUGUAGCGGUGAAAUGCGUAGAUAUUCGGAAGAACAUCAGUGGCGAAGGCGACUCACUGGUCCGAUACUGACGCUGAGGUGCGAAAGCGUGGGGAGCAAACAGGAUUAGAUA